GUGUGGAUGGAGGAUCUUAGGGGACAGAUGCCGAGUGAAGACUGGGAAGGGGCCGGUGGGUAAGCAGCCACUGGUCACUGUUUUUAGCACCAGACAUCCACCCUGGAGUCACAGACUCAGCCUGGCUUCCAGAAUUCCAGGGCUCCGGUUUCCCUCCAGAGCCUGGACCAGGCCUGGGAGCUCCCAGGACUCUCUCCAUGUUAGGCCUGGGGCCUGCCCAUCAGAACACCUUAACGUCGUGGUCCCAUUUUAGCUCCCCCAGCGCCUGGUUUGAGAACACCCGGCCGAGUUCCUGCACACUCUCCGCCCCCCACUAGGCUCCAGGAGCAAGCGGUUCUGGGUGUUUGGGCUGGGAAGGAACCGCUGCCUGUGACCCUGGCAAAGCUGAUCUGCCGGCUACUUUUUUGGUACUGGGGUUUGAACCCAGGGGCACUCUACCACAGAGCACAGCCCCAGCCCAUUUUAUUUUGAAACAGGGUCUUGCUAAAUUGCUGAGGCUGGCCUUGAACUUGGGAUCCUCCUGCCUCAGCCUCCUGAGUCACUGGGAUGACAAGCGUGUGCCACGGCUCCAGGCUCCUGCCGGCUACAUUGAUGGGCCUGAUGGAGCUGCUUUACCUCCCCCCCAUCCGGGGCAGCCUGAGCCUCUCCCCAGUAGCACCCUCGCCCUUCCAGAGAGCAUCCUUCGGCUCGCCAGCAAUCUCCCGCUCUCUCCUGCCACCCUGCUCCAGGGCAUCUCGGGGAUUCCAGAAGAACAGGAUCAGAACCCAUUUUGAAGGGUGACUGCCGUACCCCUUUCUCCGCCUCACAGAGGCAGUGACAGGAGGCACAUUCCAGGAUGGAGUCCGAGGACCUCGGGUCCAUGUUGGCUUUUCCGCCUGCCAACUGCUGCCCCCUGGGGAUGAGAAGCCAGUCCAGAGGACAGACUUUGGAGACAGAGAUGUGGGUUUCAACCCAGGGAGUUUCAAUGACCUUAGGUGAGUGACUUAACGCCUUGGAGUCCCUUCUCCCCAUCUGUCAAAUGGAAGAACAGCACCAUUUACCUCCCAGAGCCGUCAUGAGGAUCGGAUCAAAUGCCACCCAGCUGCCUGUCUCUCGUGGCUGCUGGGCCCUAGAAAUGUGGUCAGUCUGAGUGGCAAUGCGCCGAGUGUCAAACACACACAGGAGCUUGAAGACUUGGGGAGGGGGAAUGUAAAAACCUCAAGAUUUUGUGUCUGGAUCAUAAUUGACAAGAUUACAUAAUGAUAACAUUUUGAAACAUUGGGCUAAAUAAAAUACAUUAU
rnacentral:lncRNA from 1 species